UACGUAGGGGGCAAGCGUUGUCCGGAUUUAUUGGGCGUAAAGAGCGUGUAGGCGGCCGCACAGGUCCGUUGUGAAAACUGGAGGCUUAACCUUCAGACGUCGAUGGAAACCGUGCGGCUAGAGUCCGGAAGAGGAGAAUGGAAUUCCUGGUGUAGCGGUGAAAUGCGCAGAUAUCAGGAAGAACACCGGUGGCGAAGGCGGGUCUCUGGGCCGAUACUGACGCUGAGGAGCGAAAGCGUGGGGAGCGAACAGG
rnacentral:rRNA from 1 species